GACGAACGCUGGCGGCGUGCCUAAUACAUGCAAGUAGGACGCAGUUGCGAACGGGUGAGUAACGCGUAGGUAACUACCUAUUAGAGGGGGAUAACUAUUGGAAACGAUAGCUAAUACCGCAUACUAGUAGACUGACCUGCGUUGUAUUAGGUAGUAGGUAGGGUAAUGGCCUACCUAGGCAACGAUACAUAGCCGACCGGAGAGGUGGAUGGGCAACACUGGGCCUGAGACACGGCCCCGAACCCUACGGGAGGCCGCAGUAGGGACUCUUCGGAAAUGGGGGGAACCCUGACCGAGCAACGCCGCGUGAGUGAAGAAGGUUUUCGGAUCGUAAAGCUCUGUUGUUAAGGAAGCGGUACUUAACCAGAAAGGGACGGCUAACUACGUGCAAGCAGCCGCGGUAAUUC
rnacentral:rRNA from 1 species